rnacentral:rRNA from 1 species
GUAGGUGGCAAGCGUUGUCCGGAAUUAUUGGGCGUAAAGCGCGCGCAGGCGGUUCUUUAAGUCUGAUGUGAAAGCCCACGGCUCAACCGUGGAGGGUCAUUGGAAACUGGAGAACUUGAGUACAGAAGAGGAAAGCGGAAUUCCACGUGUAGCCGUGAAAUGCGUAGAGAUGUGGAGGAACACCAGUGGCGAAGGCGGCUUUCUGGUCUGUAACUGACGCUGAGGCGCGAAAGCGUGGGGAGCAAACAGGGAUUAGAUACCCUGGUAGUCCACGCCGUAAACGAUGAGUGCUAAGUGUAGGGGGUUUCCGCCCCCUUAGUGCUGCAGCUAACGCAUUAAGCACUCCGCCUGGGGAGUACGGCCGCAAGGCUG